UACGAAGGAGGCUAGCGUUGCUCGGAAUCACUGGGCGUAAAGGGUGCGUAGGCGGGUCUUUAAGUCAUGGGUGAAAUCCUGGAGCUCAACUCCAGAACUGCCUUUGAUACUGAAGAUCUUGAGUUCGGGAGAGGUGAGUGGAACUGCGAGUGUAGAGGUGAAAUUCGUAGAUAUUCGCAAGAACACCAGUGGCGAAGGCGGCUCUCUGGUACGUGACUGACGCUGAGACGCGAAAGCGUGGGGAGCGAACAGG
rnacentral:rRNA from 1 species